CCAUGGCUCAACGGUAGAGCAGCUGAUUUGUAAUCAGCAGGUUGUUGGUUCGAUUCCGACUG
rnacentral:tRNA from 1 species